rnacentral:rRNA from 1 species
GACGAACGCUGGCGGCGUGCUUAACACAUGCAAGUCGAACGGAAAGGCCCUGCUUUUGUGGGGUGCUUGAGUGGCGAACGGGUGAGUAACACGUGAGUAACCUGCGCUUGACUUUGGGAUAACUUCAGGAAACUGGGGCUAAUACCGGAUAGGAGCUCCUGCUGCAUGGUGGGGGUUGGAAAGUUUCGGCGGUUGGGGAUGGACUCGCGGCUUAUCAGCUUGUUGGUGGGGUAGUGGCUUACCAAGGCUUUGACGGGUAGCCGGCCUGAGAGGGUGACCGGCCACAUUGGGACUGAGAUACUGCCCAGACUCCUACGGGAGGCAGCAGUGGGGAAUAUUGCACAAUGGGCGGAAGCCUGAUGCAGCAACGCCGCGUGCCGGAUGACUGCCUUCGGGUUGUAAACCGCUUUCGCCUGUGACGAAGCGUAAGUGACGGUAAUGGGUAAAGAAGCACCGGCUAACUACGUG